rnacentral:rRNA from 1 species
CCUACGGGUGGCAGCAGUGAGGAAUAUUGGUCAAUGGGCGGGAGCCUGAACCAGCCAAGUCGCGUGAGGGACGACGGUCCUACGGAUUGUAAACCUCUUUUGUCAGGGAACAAAGGCGCCCACGAGUGCCCGGAUGAGUGUACCUGAAGAAAAAGCAUCGGCUAACUCCGUGCCAGCAGCCGCGGUAAUACGGAGGAUGCGAGCGUUAUCCGGAUUUAUUGGGUUUAAAGGGUGCGUAGGCGGGUGGUAAAGUCAGCGGUAAAAUUGCGGGGCUCAACGCCGUAGAGCAGUUGAUACUGGCAGUCUCGAGUGGGAGAGAAGUAUGCGGAAUUCGUGGUGUAGCGGUGAAAUGCAUAGAUAUCACGCAGAACUCCGAUUGCGAAGGCAGCAUACCGGCGCCACACUGACGCUGAGGCACGAAAGCGUGGGUAUCGAACAGGAUUAGAUACCCUAGUAGUC